UAUGCCGUGGCCUACUGGUUAGGGCUUCGGGCUUUAAACCGAAGGGUUGCCGGUUGGAUCCCCGACCAGUAGGA
rnacentral:tRNA from 1 species